rnacentral:lncRNA from 10 species
GGGAGGGCUGUGCUUCCUGGUUCUUCUGGCUUGCGCCCGAAGUCCUACAAAGCGUGAGGGCUUCACCUCGGGACUCUGGCGACCCCAACAGGUUCCCAGUGUUCGGCUGGGGCAGGACAAGUGGUGGUGGGCAGCUUCCCUUCCAUCCCUCUUGGGCUGUAUGGGAUUUGUGCUUCUGGUGAGAUGCGUCCCAUGCACAUCAUUCGCAGGUGCCCUAGGGGGCAGAUUUCCCACAACUCUCAGAGGGCAGGUUUCUAGAAAGUUCAGCCAGUGGUGCAAUUUUCGCUGCCAUUUUGUGAGGUGCCGCCGCCGCUCCUCCGGCAAGGUCAGGACUUCAGAACUAAACAUCUUUGCCUCACCCAAUGCCAUGAUGAUAAUAUUCUAAGUAUUCUUCUAGAUCUCCCAUUCAUCUCAAAUAAAUUUUCAUGGAAUGGAGUACAGUCAGAGUCCAGGUAUAUUUGAGGUGUUUAUUAGCUAUUUGAGUAUGACUCUUAUGAAGUGCAUAUUCAGCUUUUCUCCCCAGAUUUUAUUGAGAUGUUUGCUUUUUGAAAAUUGAUUUGAAGUUCUGGAUAUAUUCUGGAUUCCACUCAGUUGUUGUCAGAUGUAUAUACAGAUGUAUAUGUGUGUGUGUGUGUGUGAUUAAUAUAUAUUUACAUGUAUAACCUAUACAUAUAUACUGUAUGAUAUAUAAUCUACAAAUAUACUUCGUUUUUUCAUUGUCUUAAUAGUGUCUUUUGAGGAAUAGAAGUUUUCCAUUUAAUUAUGUGUAAUUCAACAAUUCAUUCUAUUAUUUAUUUAUUUUUGAGACAGAGUUUUGCUCUUGUUGCCCAGGCUGGAGUGCAAUGGCACGAUCUCAGCUCACUGCAACCUCUGCCUCCCGUGUUCAAGUGAUUCUCAUGCCCCAGCCUCCCGAUGAGCUGGGAUUACAAGCACCCACCACCACGCCCAGCUAAUUUUGUAUUUUUAGUAGAGACGGGGUUUCUCCAUGUUGGUCAGGCUGGUCUCAAGCUCCUGACCUCAGGUGAUCUGCCCACCUCAGCCUCCCAAAGUGCUGGGAUUACAGGUGUGAGCCACCGCGCCCGGCAAACAAUUCAUUCUUUAUGGUUAAUGCUUUUUUAUCCUCGUUAAAAACAUCUUUGCCUAUUCUAUAGUUGUGAAGAUAAUAUCUUAAGUGUUUACUAGAUUGUCUAUCCAUCUUCAAUAAAGUUUUUGGAGUGGGAUGAGGUAAGAUUCAAGGUUUGUAUUUUCCCUGCAUUUAUCACAUUUAUCAAGUGCAUUUAUUAAAAGCACUGUCCUUUCCACAAUGAUUUCCAGGAGCUCUCCUGUGGUAAAUCUAGCUAUUUUGUAUUUCCACAUUGUUUCUGGCCUCUGUGUCCUCUUCCAUUUGUGUAUUUGCCUGUCAUUGCUCCAAUAUCACACUGUUUUAAUUACUCUACCUUUAUAGUAAAUCUCAUAUUUAAUAGUGUAUAUCUACCAACUUACUUCUAUUUCUGUUCUUUUUUUUUUUUUUUUUUUUUUUACAGAUGGAGUUUUGCUUUUGUUGCCCAGGAUGGAGUGCGAUGGCAUGAUCUCCACUCACUGCAAAUUCGGCCUCCCAGGUUCAAGCGAUUCUCCUGCCUCAGCCUCCCAAGUAGCUGGAAUUACAGGUGCCUGCCACCAUGCCCGGCUAAUUUUUAUAUUUUUAAUAGAGAUGGGGUUUCACCAUGUUGGCUAGGCUGGUCUCAAACUCCUGACCUCGUGAUCUGCCCGCCUCGGCCUCCCAGAGUGUUGGGAUUACAGGUGUUAGCCACCACGCCUGGCCACUUCUAUUUCUUAAAGAUUGCCUGGGGUUUUCCAAAUCUUAAAUGUCCAUAUACUUUUAAAAAUAAUUAUCAGCUUGUCAAUUUUUGGAAAUUUUUUUUUACAUGGUGGAAUUUUAAAUAAGAUUGCUAUGAUCAUUCUGGGAGAAUUAAAAAUAAAGCCUCUUAAUAAUGUCUUCCAUUCCAUGGAAAUAAUAUUUUUUCUCCAUUUACUGUAGUCUUGAAUUUCUCUCAGUGAUGUUUUAUAAUUUUUAUGUAGUGCUGUAGCACAUCAUUGGAUUUAUUCCUAAAUAUUUUAUGUUUUUGGUACUGUUAUUAAUGACAUUUGAAAUUUUAUUUUUUUCAGUGUCACAUCUACUCUUUUUUUUAUUAUUAUACUUUAAGUUUUAGGGUACAUGUGCACAAUGUGCAGGUUUGUUACAUAUGUAUACAUGUGACAUGUUGGUGUGCUGCACUAGAAAUACCAUUUGACCCAGCCAUCCCAUUACUGGGUAUAUACCCAAAGGAUUAUAAAACAU